rnacentral:rRNA from 1 species
UACAGAGGUCUCAAGCGUCGUUCGGAUUCAUUGGGCGUAAAGGGUGCGUAGGUGGCGUGGUAAGUCGGGUGUGAAAUUUCGGAGCUUAACUCCGAAACUGCAUUCGAUACGGGCAGGCUAGAGUUCGGUAGGGGAGACUGGAAUUCCUGGUGUAGCGGUGAAAUGCGCAGAUAUCAGGAGGAACACCGAUGGCGAAGGCAGGUCUCUGGGCCGAUACUGACGCUGAGGAGCGAAAGCGUGGGGAGCGAACAGG